UGCGAAAGCAGGUCAUAGUGAUCCGGUGGUUCUGAAUGGAAGGGCCAUCGCUCAACGGAUAAAAGGUACUCCGGGGAUAACAGGCUGAUACCGCCCAAGAGUUCAUAUCGACGGCGGUGUUUGGCACCUCGAUGUCGGCUCAUCACAUCCUGGGGCUGAAGUAGGUCCCAAGGGUAUGGCUGUUCGCCAUUUAAAGUGGUACGCGAGCUGGGUUUAGAACGUCGUGAGACAGUUCGGUCCCUAUCUGCCGUGGGCGCUGGAGAACUGAGGGGGGCUGCUCCUAGUACGAGAGGACCGGAGUGGACGCAUCACUGGUGUUCGGGUUGUCAUGCCAAUGGCACUGCCCGGUAGCUAAAUGCGGAAGAGAUAAGUGCUGAAAGCAUCUAAGCACGAAACUUGCC
rnacentral:rRNA from 1 species